CAUGUUUUUAUUUCUAUCUGAGUGUCUUGUGGUCUCAGCGUGGAGCUGCAGCAGUGAGCAGGAAACAGCUGCAGCUCUCUGACUCUGUGUGUUUGCAUACAUGUGUCCUCCUCUCUGCUUCCAGCCAUAAGAGGCUGCUGUCCAUCAGUGGCUGUCCAGGCCUUUCACACACACAUGAUGAUGUCACUGACUCUGCUGCUGGCCACCCUGGGGCUCCUUGUUCAGGCCUCAUCAGGAGAAAUCCUCGUGACUCAGUCUCCUGGAUCUCAGUCUGCUGUUCCAGGACAGACUGUCUCCAUCAGCUGUAAAGCCAGUUCAAGUGUUGCUAGGCGCCUCCACUGGUACCUUCAGAAACCUGGAGAAGCUCCUAAACUCCUGAUUUAUUUAGCUUCAACCCGUCAGUCUGGAGUUUCAGAUCGUUUCAGUGGAAGUGGAUCUCAUUAUGACUUCACUCUGACCAUCAGUGGAGUUCAGGCUGAAGAUUCAGGAGUUUACUACUGUCAGCAUGGUUACGGCACCCCGUACACGUUCGGUGGAGGAACCAGACUGGAUGUUAACUUGGGUGGAAUCGUCCCCACCCUGACGGUGCUGCCCCCCUCCAGUGAGCAGCUGCAGCAGGGGACGGCCACGCUCAUGUGCCUGGCCAACAAGGGCUUCCCCUCAGACUGGAGUCUGUCCUGGAAGGUGGACGGCAGCAGCGGCAGCAGAGGCUGGGAGCAGAGCAGCAGCCCCGGGGUGCUGGAGAAGGACGGCCACUACAGCUGGAGCAGCACCCUGAGGCUCUCUGCAGACCAGUGGAGGAAGGUGGGCUCUGUGACCUGUGAGGCCACCCAGGGCUCCCAGACUCCGCUCUCAGAGACUCUGAGGAGAGACCAGUGUUCCCAGUCCUGAUCUGACUCACUGCUUUUCCUCU